rnacentral:rRNA from 1 species
UACGUAGGGCGCAAGCGUUAUCCGGAAUUAUUGGGCGUAAAGAGCUCGUAGGCGGUUUGUCGCGUCUGCCGUGAAAGUCCGGGGCUCAACUCCGGAUCUGCGGUGGGUACGGGCAGACUAGAGUGAUGUAGGGGAGACUGGAAUUCCUGGUGUAGCGGUGAAAUGCGCAGAUAUCAGGAGGAACACCGAUGGCGAAGGCGGUUGCCUGGGGCUUUGCUGACGCUGAUGCGCGAAAGCGUGGGGAGCGAUCCGG